GGAUCAACCCCAGGUGUGGCACACCAGUCAUACCUUGAUCC
rnacentral:misc_RNA from 1 species